rnacentral:rRNA from 1 species
GACGAACGCUGGCGGCGUGCUUAACACAUGCAAGUCGAACGGAAAGGCCCUGCUUUUGUGGGGUGCUCGAGUGGCGAAAGGGUGAGUAACACGUGAGUAACCUGCCCUUGACUUUGGGAUAACUUCAGGAAACUGGGGCUAAUACCGGAUAGGAGCUCCUGCUGCAUGGUGGGGGUUGGAAAGUUUCGGCGGUUGGGGAUGGACUCGCGGCUUAUCAGCUUGUUGGUGGGGUAGUGGCUUACCAAGGCUUUGACGGGUAGCCGGCCUGAGAGGGUGACCGGCCCCAUUGGGACUGGGAUACGGCCCAGACUACUACAGGAGGCAGCAGUGGGGAAUAUUGCACAGUGGGCGGAAGCCUGAUGCAGCAACGCCGCGUGCGGGAUGACGGCCUUCAGGUUGUAAACCGCUUUAGCCUGUGACGAAGCGUGAGUGACAGUAAUGGGUAAAGAAGCACCGGCUAACUACGUG